rnacentral:rRNA from 1 species
UACGUAGGUGGCAAGCGUUGUCCGGAAUUAUUGGGCGUAAAGCGCGCGCAGGCGGUUCCUUAAGUCUGAUGUGAAAGCCCACGGCUCAACCGUGGAGGGUCAUUGGAAACUGGGGAACUUGAGUGCAGAAGAGGAGAGCGGAAUUCCACGUGUAGCGGUGAAAUGCGUAGAGAUGUGGAGGAACACCAGUGGCGAAGGCGGCUCUCUGGUCUGUAA